AGUAUCAAAGAACAAAACAUAAAAAGAAAGAAAAGAUGUUCACCAAUAUGAAGUGAUUAUUUUAGAUGAAGUGAACAAAACAGAUAAUUAAUUCUUAAACACAAGGGCCUUGUGUAUUAAAAUGUCAUGAUCAUCUUAGGCAAUACUAAUCACAAAAGCACAAACUACAUACUUAUCACAAACUGGUUGCAUAAGUAACUACACAUACAAUGAUACAAACCACCAUAACACUAGUCUUACAUCUCAUAGUCAUGGUCACAUACCAAAACACUAUAUUGAGAAUGGGAUACAAGUUGUAGUUGAGAAAACUAAACCAACACAAACACAACAAGCUGCAAAAUUUACCAGGGAAACACAUCACCCACACCCACCUAACUAGUAGAAUCCCAAAAAUUACAAAGGUAACAAAUUAAUAAAGUGAUUUCAUGCACUAGGAAUGCAACUACUAGAGUCUAGAAACUGGAAAAUAGAGAAUACACUCCAAACUACGAUAAUAAUUAUGGUACACUACUUUUAAGAUAUGAUUACAAUUUACAAAUGGAAGGCGUAACCGGAUAAAGCAUGAGGAAAUCAUUUUAACAUGAUAUGCAUUUGUGUUUUUCCUGCAAAUUGUAGAAGCAAGUUUGUUUAGUUUUGUUUAUUCUGUUCUGACUAGUAAUUUUUUUCCCUGAAUAUACUAAUUAACAUGUGGAUUAGUGUUGGAUGGACAGGUUAAGAAAUUUCACAUUAAAGCAAUGGAGUUAUCUUUCACACAGAAGUAAAUUGUUUCAACUAUAACACAAUGAAACAAAUGAUGCAAAUUUAAAAUGAACCAAAUUCCAAUCACAAUAAGAAUUAUAGAUAAGAAUAAAUCACAAACUUCCAACAAAAAUUUCAUAAAACCCUAAAAUACUAAAACCCCAAUUCAUAAUUUUCAAAAAACCCAAAAUUAACAAAACCAUAAAAUCAAGAUCAAUUACCUUGCUAAGGUUGUCUUCCCCGUUCGAAUCUUCGAGAGUAAAGGUUGUGGUGGUGAGUAAGGAGAGAAAUCACACAAAAAUCGCAGAAAAACGCACAGACUGAUAAAGUUGAAAAUGGAGAAAGUUGAGAGCAGAAACUGAGAAGCACGAGAGAGAUGAGACGGGAGACGGAGAAAUUGGAGCACCCACCGCCGCUGGUUGAUAUUUAGUGGUCGUUGAUUGAGGGUUGCGGUUGAGAGAGACGAGAGAAAACAAUUUUAGAGAGAAGUGUGAAAGUGUAUUAUGAGUGUGGUCUUCAGACAUAGGG
rnacentral:lncRNA from 1 species